AACGAACGCUGGCGGCAGGCUUAACACAUGCAAGUCGAGCGCGCCGUUCGGGGCGCGGCAGACGCGUGAGCAUCGCGUGGGAAAGUCUGUCUUGGUUCUGAACAAAUCCGGGCAAAUGGAGUUCUUAUCGGAUAAGCUGUCAUGGGGAAAGAUGUAUCGCCGCAGGAUGUGCCCGCGUCUGAUUAGAUCGUUUGUGUGGUAACGGCUCCUCAAGGCGACGAUAAGUAGCUGGUCUGAGAGGAUGAUCAGCCACACUGGGACUGAGACACGGCCCAGACUCCUACGGGAGGCAGCAGUGGGGAAUAUUGGACAAUGGGCGAAAGCCUGAUCCAGCCAUGCCGCGUGAGUGAUGAAGGCCUUAGGGUUGUAAAGCUCUUUUAUCCGGGAAGAUAAUGACUGUACCGGAAGAAUAAGCCCCGGCUAACUUCGUG
rnacentral:rRNA from 1 species